UACGAAGGGGGCGAGCGUUGUUCGGAAUUACUGGGCGUAAAGGGCGCGUAGGCGGCGACCCAAGUCAGAUGUGAAAGUCCUGGGCUUAACCUGGGGACUGCAUUUGAUACUGGGUUGCUUGAAUUCGGGAGAGGAUAGCGGAAUUCCCAGUGUAGAGGUGAAAUUCGUAGAUAGUUGGGAAGAACACCGGUGGACGAAGGCGGCUAUCUGGACCGACAUUGACGCUGAGGCGCGAAAGCGUGGGGAGCAAACAGG
rnacentral:rRNA from 1 species